CCACAGCCCUGAUGGGAGCGGUAUCCUUUUUUGGGCUUCUUUAGCCGGGAAAAGAUAUAGCAGACAGCAGGAUCAGCU
rfam:Oryza sativa Indica Group cultivar 93-11 Ctg045722, whole genome shotgun sequence.